GAGGGUACAGCUCAGUGGCAGAGCGCAUGCUUAGCAUGCACGAGGUCCUGGGUUCAAUCCCCAGUACCGCCA
rnacentral:tRNA from 1 species